CGAAAUUUCUCCUAGUCUCUUCACAAAACGUCUCCAGUUGUUUCAAGCACUCUGAUGUCUGUUUCUUCCAGUCCACCUCACCAUAAUCUAAAUACCACUGGUCACAAAGGGCCACGACACAUUCAUCAGCAGACCUUGACAUCACUUGUUUCUCAGGUUCCAUAUAGAUCAUGGCUUCAUCAUUAUCCACCAUCAUCUUCUGUAUACAUUUCUUGACAUCUUGAACUUUUUGUCCUUUGAAUCCAU
rnacentral:lncRNA from 1 species